rnacentral:rRNA from 1 species
GACGUAGGGGUGCGAGCGUUGUCCGGAUUUAUUGGGCGUAAAGAGCUCGUAGGCGGCUUGUUGCGUCAGCUGUGAAAACCCGCGGCUUAACCGUGGGCCUGCAGCUGAUACGGGCAAGCUAGAGUUCGGUAGGGGAGACUGGAAUUCCUGGUGUAGCGGUGAAAUGCGCCAGAUAUCAGGAGGAACACCGGUGGCGAAGGCGGGUCUCUGGGCCGAUGACUGACGCUGAGGAGCGAAAGCGUGGGGAGCGAACAGG